AACGCACCUUGCACCCUCUGGUAUUCCGGAGGGUAUGCCUGUCUGAGUGUCACGUCAAUCAUCGUCCCCUCGGGUUCUGCCCGGGGGGUCGGAUAUGGGUGUUGCCCUUCAUCGGGCUCGCCUCAAAAGCUUUGGUGGCUCAGCGUGGCCCGUGGUCCUGCGUGAUAUGUAUCGCCUGACCUCGGGACGCCUGGCUUCCUGGAAACCGUGCCCCGGCACAUCUGUGUGAUAGACCUCAGAUCAGGUAGGACUACCCGCUGAACUUAA
rnacentral:misc_RNA from 1 species